GGUGCAUCUCUAUAGUUCCAACUGGCCUGGCCCCAUAACAACAGUGCAUAGUUGUUCCCUGGAGGCCUCAGUGUUUCUUUGUUAAAACCAGGACACUGAAGGCAACGAGUUGUUUUCCAGCUAUAACUUUUCAGAACUCUAUGUUUCUGAAUCUAUUGGUGUCCACACUGAUCUAGGACUUUACUAAUGGUUCAAUGCUUCUGCCUUCCAGGAAAAGUACCAAAAAAAGAUUGGAAUCUCAGGGUUAGGGGCUUUGCUGACCAGGCUUUCUUCUGUGGGUGACAGUUGAGCUCAAAUGAUUCACUUUAAGUAGUUAUUCAAAGGGCACAGGAAGCAGAUGGUUGGCUAGGAGUUUUAAGUCAGUGGCUUGGGAAAGAACUCUGGGGAAAAUUGAGGUAAAACUUGGGGAUAUUUCUGACUGAUUUAGAUGUGGCAUGCUUUGGUGCAAAUUCAAUUGAGGGGAGCUGGAGAUUUAGAUCAGUGGCACUGUGUCUCCAUUACAAGUGCAAGGUCCUGAGUUCGAUCCCUGCUACUGGAAAAAAAAAUUCAAUCGAGGAGAGGGUGUGGUAGUACACGACUGUCUGAAUGAUAACCCAGGUAUAUCUGAGGUUAGAAUACCAUUGGGUUUGCUAUCUUGUUUUAUUCUUUUUCAAUUUCUUUCCCUUUGUCUCUUCCUCCCCAUUUUCUCUCCUUAGACCAGCGGAUGGUAGUUUUAGCACCUAGCUCUAACUCCCUUGUGGUUCAGGGGUGUGUUCUCUGAUUUUAGUAUAGGCCUGCUGUCAUCACUGCUGAAUAUUGUACCCACAGCCUCUUCUGCCAGCAGCCAAGAUUGCUGCUGUCUUGUCUUCCUCUGAACUCACUGUAUUAUUGUAAGGUUUCAUAGCAGCAAGGAGAUGCUUGCAGUUGUCCGUUAUAUUUCCAUGGUUCUCCGGAACAGACACACUUCUGAGUGUGUCCAGUUGUUCUUACCGGAGAGGGUGCAGCUCUCGUGUGAGUACAGCAUUCAGACACAAUGCUCUGUACCGCCUCGCCUUCCAUGGUCAUCUGGUCAGCCCUAGGAGGAUGCUGCUGACCCUCUUCUCUGGACAGCACACACCUCCUGUGGCACUGCUAGCACCUGCCCGCACACGCAGUGACUGACCUGAAGCAUGUCCCAUCUGUGUAAUUCCCUGAGCACUUGCGAUUAUCUGCCGGCAGAAGCCUGGGAUCAUCCCUCCCCGUCUGCCUGUGUCUGACAAGCUGCCUGGUGCGGUGUCAGUGAAUGGAUGGAUGUUUGAUGUAAAGGAGAGUGAAUCAGUAGAGGUA
rnacentral:lncRNA from 1 species